rnacentral:snRNA from 1 species
CUUUGAAGACAGAAGUUAUCCUA